GAUGAACGCUGACAGAAUGCUUAACACAUGCAAGUCCACUUGAACUUCGGUUUGGGUGGCGGACGGGUGAGUAACGCGUAAAGAACUUGCCUCACAGAUAGGGACAACAUUUGGAAACGAAUGCUAAUACCUGAUAUUAUGAUUUUAGGGCAUCCUAGGAUUAUGAAAGCUAUAUGCGCUGUGAGAGAGCUUUGCGUCCCAUUAGCUAGUUGGAGAGGUAACGGCUCACCAAGGCGAUGAUGGGUAGCCGGCCUGAGAGGGUGAUCGGCCACAAGGGGACUGAGACACGGCCCUUACUCCUACGGGAGGCAGCAGUGGGGAAUAUUGGACAAUGGACCAAGAGUCUGAUCCAGAAAUUCUGUGUGCACGAUGAAGUUUUUCGGAAUGUAAAGUGCUUUCAGUUGGGAAGAAAAAAAUGACGGUACCAACAGAAGAAGUGACGGCUAAAUACGUG
rnacentral:rRNA from 1 species